rnacentral:rRNA from 1 species
CCUACGGGUGGCAGCAGUGGGGAAUAUUGCACAAUGGGGGAAACCCUGAUGCAGCAACGCCGCGUGAGUGAAGAAGUAUUUCGGUAUGUAAAGCUCUAUCAGCAGGGAAGAAGAUUACGGUACCUGAUUAAGAAGCCCCGGCUAACUACGUGACAGCAGCCGCGGUAAGACGUCGGGGGCAAGCGUGAUCCGGAUUUACUGGGUGUAAAGGGAGGGCAGACGGCAGUGCAAGUCUGGAGUGAAAGCCCGGGGCGCAACCCCGGAACUGCUCUGGAAACUGGGCGGCUAGAGUGCGGGCGGGGCAGGCGGAAUUCGUAGUGUAGCGGUGAAAUGCGUAGAUAUUAGGAGGAACACCAGUGGCGAAGGCGGCCUGCUGGACAGUAACUGACGUUGAGGCUCGAAAGCGUGGGGAGCAAACAGGAUUAGAUACCCUUGUAGUC